AAUAGCUUUAGGGCUAGCCUUGAGGGAAGAUAUGUGGGGGUAGAGCACUGAAUGAGGUAGGGGCCUAACCAGGUUACUGAACUCUAUCAAACUGCGAAUACCAUGUAUUAAUACUCAGGAGUCAGACUACGGGAGCUAAGUUCCGUGGUCAAAAGGGAAAGAGCCCAGACCGACAAUUAAGGUCCCAAAGAUAUAGUUAAGUGGGAAACGAUGUGAAUUUGCGUAAACAACCAGGAUGUUGGCUCAGAAGCAGCCAUUCAUUCAAAGAGUGCGUAACAGCUCACUGGUCGAGUGAAUUUGCGCGGAAAAUUACCGGGGCUAAACUAUACACCGAAAUUACGGAUUUGUAAAUGAAAAUUUAUAAGUGGUAGAGGAGCAUUCUGUGGUAGGGCGAAGCUAAAGCGAGAGCAUUAGUGGACGAAGCAGAAGAGAGAAUGCUGGAAUAAGUAGCGAGAGCGAGGUGAGAAUCCUUGCCGUCGAAAGUCUAAGGUUUCCUGGGGAAGGUUCGUCCGCCCAGGGUAAGUCGGGACCUAAGGAGAGGCCGAAAGGCGUAUCUGAUGGAUAGCAGGUGGAAAUUCCUGCACUACGAAUAUACUUAAAAGAUUCAAGGGACGCAGAAGUGGAAGAUAACCAAGUAAGAGGAAAAGCUUGGCUCGCAAGAGGGAGUGAAAAUUAAAAGUAACGAAGUAUCAAGAAGCACGCUGACGAGAAAAGCUUGAAGAUAUUGUAUAUAAGUACCCGUACCGCAAACCGACACAGGUAGAUGAGGAGAGGAUCCUAAGACGAGCGGGAGAAGCAUUGUUAAGGAACUCGGCAAAUUAACCCCGUAACUUCGGAAUAAGGGGUGCUGAUGUAACAGUCAGUCGCAGAGAAAAGGCCCAAGCAACUGUUUAACAAAAACAUAGGUUUCUGCUAAAUCGAAAGAUGAAGUAUAGGAGCUGACGCCUGCCCAGUGCUGGAAGGUUAAGGGAAAGAGUUAGGGUUAAACCGAAGCUUAGAACUGAAGCCCCAGUGAACGGCGGCCGUAACUAUAACGGUCCUAAGGUAGCGAAAUUCCUUGUCAGGUAAGUUCUGACCCGCACGAAAGGCGUAAUGAUUUGGGCGCUGUCUCGACAAUGUCCCCGGCGAAAUUGUAGUACUAGUGAAGAUGCUAGUUACCUGCGAUAAGACAGAAAGACCCCAUGGAGCUUUACUGCAGUUUGAUACUGGGUUUCGAUGAUUUAUGUACAGGAUAGUUGGGAGACUAUGAAAGAGAGGCGUCAGCUUCUCCGGAGUCGUUGUUGGGAUACCAACCUUAAGUUAUUGAAAUUCUAACUUGUAAUCGUAAACCGGUUAGAGGACAAUGUCAGACGGGCAGUUUGACUGGGGCGGUCGCCUCCUAAAGAGUAACGGAGGCGCCCAAAGGUUUCCUCAGCGCGGACAGAAAUCGCGCGAAAGAGUGUAAAGGCAGAAGGAAGCUUAACUGAGAGACAGACAUGUCGACCAGAUACGAAAGUAGGGCUUAGUGAUCCGGUGGUUGUAAAUGGAAAUGCCAUCGCUCAACGGACAAAAGUUACCCUGGGGAUAACAGGCUUAUCUCCCCCAAGAGUUCACAUCGACGGGGAGGUUUGGCACCUCGAUGUCGGCUCAUCGCAUCCUGGAGCGGAAGUACGUUCCAAGGGUUGGGCUGUUCGCCCAUUAAAGCGGUACGCGAGCUGGGUUCAGAACGUCGUGAGACAGUUCGGUCCCUAU
rnacentral:rRNA from 1 species